rnacentral:rRNA from 1 species
AACGAACGCUGGCGGCAGGCCUAACACAUGCAAGUCGAGCGCCCCGCAAGGGGAGCGGCGGACGGGUGAGUAACGCGUGGGAAUUUUCCUCAAGGUACGGAACAACCCAGGGAAACUUGGGCUAAUACCGUAUGAUGCAGAGAUGCCAAAGAUUUAUCGCCUUGGGAUAAGCCCGCGUCAGAUUAGGUAGUUGGUGGGGUAACGGCCUACCAAGCCUGCGAUCUGUAGCUGGUCUGAGAGGACGAUCAGCCACACUGGGACUGAGACACGGCCCAGACUCCUACGGGAGGCAGCAGUGGGGAAUCUUGCGCAAUGGGCGAAAGCCUGACGCAGCCAUGCCGCGUGAGUGAUGAAGGUCUUAGGAUUGUAAAGCUCUUUCGCCCGUGACGAUGAUGACGGUAACGGGAGAAGAAGCCCCGGCUAACUUCGUGCCAGCAGCCGCCGUAACAC